rnacentral:lncRNA from 1 species
UUAUCUGUACCUUAAUUUAUUUCUAAUGUACCCAUUCUUCUUUAUUAAUGUACCACUUUGUUAUAUGUGAAAUGUACCAAUUUGUUUGUAAAUAUACCAAUUUUUUAACACUAUGGAUACAUUCUUGUGCCAUUUAUUAUUUAUUAUUUUUAUAUAGUUUUUAUCUAUUUAUUCAAUCAAAAUGUUUGAAUUUUUUUAUUGUAACCAUUUAUAAUAAUAUUAUAAUGAGAGAUUUUAAAUUUAUAGGAUUAUAAAUCUCAUAAAAUAUCAAACAAUUAAUAUCAAAACUAUAAAAUUAUAAAUAUUAAUAGUAAUAUAAUGAGGGGUACAAAGUCAAGGGACCUUGAUCAAACUUUGAAUAUUAUUAAGAUUUUA